rnacentral:rRNA from 1 species
AUAUCAAUAAGCGGAGGAAAAGAAACCAACAGGGAUUGCCUCAGUAACGGCGAGUGAAGCGGCAACAGCUCAAAUUUGAAAUCUGACCCUUUUAGGGUCCGAGUUGUAAUUUGUAGAGGAUGUUUCGGGCAAGGCUACGGUUUAGGUUCCUUGGAACAGGACGUCAUAGAGGGUGAGAAUCCCGUCUUUAACCGGCUGCCGCGUCCAUGUGAAACUCCUUCGACGAGUCGGGUUGUUUGGGAAUGCAGCUCAAAAUGGGUGGUAAAUUUCAUCUAAAGCUAAAUAUUGGCCAGAGACCGAUAGCGCACAAGUAGAGUGAUCGAAAGAUGAAAAGCACUUUGAAAAGAGAGUUAAACAGCAUGUGAAAUUGUUGAAAGGGAAGCGCUUGCAGCCAGACUUGUGGGCGGUAAUUCAGCCGUUAUUCUUAACGGUGCACUUUGCCGUCUCCAGGCCAGCAUCGGUUCGGGUAGUUAGUUAAAGGCUUCGGGAAUGUAUCAACCCUCCGGGGUUGACUUAUAGCCCGAGGUGUCAUCUGGCUUACCUGGACCGAGGUACGCGCUCUGCACGGAUGCUGGCGUAAUGGUUGUAAGCGACCCGUCUUGAAACACGGACCAAGGAGUCUAACAUCUAUGCGAGUGUUAGGGUGUCAAACCCCUACGCGUAAUGAAAGUGAACGGAGGUAGGAACCUUUACGGGUGCACUAUCGACCGAUCCUGAUGUUCUCGGAUGGAUUUGAGUAAGAGCAUAGCUGUUGGGACCCGAAAGAUGGUGAACUAUGCGUGUAUAGGGUGAAGCCAGAGGAAACUCUGGUGGAGGCUCGCAGCGGUUCUGACGUGCAAAUCGAUCGUCAAAUAUGCGUAUAGGGGCGAAAGACUAAUCGAACCAUCUGGUAGCUGGUUCCUGC